rnacentral:lncRNA from 1 species
CUGCUUCUUCAUGUUCCUUAACACCUUGGGUAAGAUUAGUGUAGUUGACCAGCUUGCCAAGCAGAGAUGACACUUUUGGUCGUAUAUCAAGUUCUUCCUCAAACAAGGCCAGAUUUUUGUCAUAGUAAUCACCUCCUUUGCUGGCUUCUGAACUGUUGAGGAAAGGGCUGUUUUCUUUAUGGUUACCAUGACUUGCAUGGGAAGAGCUUGUUAUCUCCAUUAGUUUUGGAAGAGAGUGGAGGUGACCUCGGAAAGACACUCCAGGGAAUUCUUGCCCCAGCUUCACAUGAGGAUAGCUUACAGUCUGAAGCAUGAAGUCUCCUGGACAAGCACCAUCUUGUGACACAGGUAUUGUUUUCCAC